AACGAACGCUGGCGGCAUGCCUAACACAUGCAAGUCGAACGGGAUCCUGACUUCGGUUGGGUGAGAGUGGCGGACGGGUGAGUAACGCGUGGGAACCUGCCCAGUGGUGGGGGGAUAACUGCGGGAAACUGCAGCUAAUACCGCAUGAGCCCGAGAGGGGAAAGAUUUAUCGCCAUUGGAGGGGCCCGCGUUCGAUUAGGUAGUUGGUGAGGUAACGGCUCACCAAGCCUUCGAUCGAUAGCUGGUCUGAGAGGAUGAUCAGCCACACUGGGACUGAGAUACGGCCCAGACUCCUACGGGAGGCAGCAGUGGGGAAUAUUGGACAAUGGGGGGCAACCCUGAUCCAGCAAUGCCGCGUGAGUGAUGAAGGCCUUCGGUUGUAAGACUCUUUCAGUUGAGAAGAAAGAUUGUGACUAAUAAUACACGAUUCAUGACGGUAUCAACAGAAGAAGCACCGGCUAACUACGUGCCAGCAGCCGC
rnacentral:rRNA from 1 species